AUUGAAGGGGUGCUCGUCACAUGAUCGUACAUCUUGCUUUACAAUCCCUCCUUUUACCAAGAUCUCACUCAGGUCAUUAAGUAUGGUUUUGUCAUACUGUUCAAUGUUACGAUUGGGGAUGUUAUGUCAACAGCCUAAAGAGUCUCUCGUCUCUUCAAGCCACAGUUACGAACUUCUUGACAAAUUUCCUCCCUUCUGGAUUAGCUGGGUUCUUUUUUUUUGAUGAGUCAUUGAGAUACCAGUGGUUUGCAGGUGCACUUCUUAUAGUGAUUGGUGUGCUAAUUCUCAGCAAAUCAAGUAUCGAGAAGAAAAGUAGAGUUGAUUGAAAGUUCUCAGUUUAUGAGAGAUACCAUACGCCAUGCUUGAAGGUGACUUAUAAAUGAGAAGUUACAUUCUCGUGCCACUCUCAAGGAAGGAAAAAAAAGAAGUCGAGAAUUGAGGAUAGAAGAGUGUUUGCUUCCUGGCCGGUCAUUCCGCGUGAAUGAUCACUACUUGCUGUGACUGGCAGCACCAAGGUUGCUAUGUUGUUAAUGCCAGGAUUGCUAUGUUACUGUUAAUGGUGACUGUAAGAUAUAGCUACAAAGCAAGCUACAAAGAAGGCAGAUUUGUGUUUAGCGAUGGGAUCCUGUCCCACCUUUUUA